GACGAACGCUGGCGGCGUGCUUAACACAUGCAAGUCGAACGGAAAGGCCCUGCUCUUGCGGGGUGCUCGAGUGGCGAACGGAUGAGUAACACGUGAGUAACCUGCCCUUGACAUUGGGAUAACUUCAUGAAACUGGGGCUAGUACCGGAUAGGAGCUCCUGCUGCAUGGUGGGGGUUGGAAAGUUUCGGCGGUGGGGGUUGGACUUGCGGCUUAUCAGCUUGUUGGUGGGGUAGUGGCUUACCAAGGCUUUGACGGGUAGCCGGCCUGAGAGGGUGACCGGCCACAUUGGGACUGAGAUACGGCCCAGACUCCUACGGGCGGCAGCAGUGGGGAAUAUUGCACAAUGGGCGGAAGCCUGAUGCAGCCACGCCGCGUGCGGGAUGACGGCCUUCGGGUUGUAAACCGCUUUCGCCUGUGACGAAGCGUGAGUGACGGUAAUGGGUAAAGAAGCACCGGCUAACUACGUG
rnacentral:rRNA from 1 species